CAGCAAAGGUAAGAAAGGCAAUUGGCCUACUCGAGACAUUGAAUAGUGUCAAUUUAUGUCAUGAGCUCCUUUUCAAGCAGCAAGAGGGCUUUCUAACAAAGAGAACGGCGCAUUCGAGAACAUCUGUGCGGGGAUAUCUAAACUAUUGGAUUCACCUCAGAGAAAGCACUUUACUGUUUGACCCGUAUCCGAGGGUCACUUCU
rnacentral:lncRNA from 1 species